rnacentral:rRNA from 1 species
AUUGAACGCUGGCGGCAGGCCUAACACAUGCAAGUCGAGCGGAGCGGCGGACGGGUGAGUAAUGCCUAGGAAUCUGCCUGGUAGUUGGGGAUAACGUCCGGAAACGGGCGCUAAUGCCGCAUCCUCUCAGUCUAGUCUAGGUCGGAUUAGCUAGUUGGUGGUGUAAAGGCCUACCAAGGCGACGAUCCGUCACUGGUCUGAGAGGAUGAUCAGUCACACUGGAACUGAGACACGGUCCAGACUCCUACGGGAGGCAGCAGUGGGGAAUAUUGGACAAUGGGCGAAAGCCUGAUCCAGCCAUGCCGCGUGUGUGAAGAAGGUCUUCGGAUUGUAAAGCACUUUAAGUUGGGAGGCGUUACCAACAGAAUAAGCACCGGCUAACUUCGUGCCAGCAGCCGCGGUAAUUC